rnacentral:rRNA from 1 species
UACGUAGGGGGCAAGCGUUGUCCGGAAUCAUUGGGCGUAAAGCGCGUGUAGGCGGCUCGAUAAGUCUGCUGUGAAAGUCCAGGGCUCAACCCUGGGAUGCCGGUGGAUACUGUCGAGCUCGAGUCCGGAAGAGGCGAGUGGAAUCCUGGUGUAGCGGUGAAAUGCGCAGAUAUCAGGAGGAACACCAAUGGCGAAGGCAGCUCGCUGGGACGUGACUGACGCUGAGACGCGAAAGCGUGGGGAGCAAACAGG